AUGGCAAAAACUGUGGCCUAUUUCUACAACCCCGACGUGCGCAACUUCCACCACAGAGCUGGGCACCCUAUGAAGCCCCAUCGCUUUGCAUUGACCCAUAGCUUGGUCCUGCAUUAUGGUCUCUAUAAGAAGAUGAUCGUCUUCAAGCCAUACCAGGCCUCCCAGCAUGACAUGUGCCUCUUCCACUCUGAGGACUACAUUGACUUCCUGCAGAGAGUCAGCCCCACCAAUAUGCAAGGCUUCACCAACAGCCUUAAUGCCUUCGAUGUGGGCGAUGACUGCCCAGUGUUUCCCCGGCUUUUUGAGUUCUGCUUCCGUUACACAGGUGCAUCUCUGCAAGGAGCAACCCAACUGAACAACAAGAUCUGUGAGAUUGCCAUUAACUGGGCUGGUGGUCUUCACCAUGCUAAGAAGUUUGAGGCUUCUCGCUUCUGCUAUGUCAAUGACAUUGUAAUUGGCAUCCUGGAGCUCCCCAAGUACCACCCUCGGGUGCUCUAUAUUGACAUCGACAGCCACCAUGGUGACGGGGUUCAGGAAGCCUUCUACCUCACUGACCGCGUUGUGACUGUGUCCUUUCACAAAUACGGAAAGUACUUCUUCCCUGGGACAGGUGACAUGUAUGAAGUUGGAGCAGAGAGUGGCCGCUACUACUGUCUCAAUGUGCCCUUACGGAUCGCAUUGAUGACCAGAGUUACAAGCACCUUUUCCAGCAGGUCAUCAACCAGGUGGUGGACUUCUACCAACCCACAUGCAUUGUGCUCCAGUGUGGAGCUGACUCUCUGGGCUGUGAUAGAUUGGGCUGUUUCAAUCUUAGCAUACGAGGGCAUGGGGAAUGCGUUGAAUAUGUCAAGAGCUAGGUGGUGUUGGCUAUACUGUCCGAAAUGUUGCCUGCUGCUGGACAUAUGAGACAUCCUUCUGGUAGAAGAGGCCAUCAGUGAAGACCUUCCCUAUAGUGAGUACUUCGAGUACUUUGCCCCGGACUUUACCCUCCAUCCAGAUGUCAGCACCCGCAUCGGGAAUCAGAACUCACGCCAUUAUCUGGAUCAGAUCCGCCAGACAAUCUUUGAAAACCUAAAGAUGCUGAACCAUGCACCUAGUGUCUAGAUCCACGAUGUGCCUGCAGACUUCCUGACCUAUGACAGGACUGAUGAGGCAGAUGCAGAGGAGAGGGGUCCUGAGGGGAACUACAGCAGGCCAGAGGCGAACUACAGCAGGCCAGAGGCACCCAAUGAACUUUAUGAUGGAGACCAUGACAAUGACAAGGAAAGUGAUGUGGAAAUUUAA